CAGUCGAGCGAAUGGAUUAAGAAGCUUGCUCUUAUGAAGUUAGCGGCGGACGGGUGAGUAACACGUGGGUAACCUGCCCAUAAGACUGGGAUAACUCCGGGAAACCGGGGCUAAUACCGGAUAACAUUUUGAACCGCAUGGUUCGAAAUUGAAAGGCGGCUUCGGCUGUCACUUAUGGAUGGACCCGCGUCGCAUUAGCUAGUUGGUGAGGUAACGGCUCACCAAGGCAACGAUGCGUAGCCGACCUGAGAGGGUGAUCGGCCACACUGGGACUGAGACACGGCCCAGACUCCUACGGGAGGCAGCAGUAGGGAAUCUUCCGCAAUGGACGAAAGUCUGACGGAGCAACGCCGCGUGAGUGAUGAAGGCUUUCGGGUCGUAAAACUCUGUUGUUAGGGAAGAACAAGUGCUAGUUGAAUAAGCUGGCACCUUGACGGUACCUAACCAGAAAGCCACGGCUAACUACGUGCCAGCAGCCGCGGUAAUACGUAGGUGGCAAGCGUUAUCCGGAAUUAUUGGGCGUAAAGCGCGCGCAGGUGGUUUCUUAAGUCUGAUGUGAAAGCCCACGGCUCAACCGUGGAGGGUCAUUGGAAA
rnacentral:rRNA from 1 species